UGGGGUCCCGAUGUUGGGUCGACUCAAAAAUUUUCUUGGGUCGACUCAACGUUGGGUCGACCCUAUUCUGGGUUGGGUCGACCGAAGUUCAGAAAUUUUUCCUUUCUCUUCCUUUUCGCUUCUAAAAAAAAUUUUUCUUGCUUCCAAUCCUUACAAAUUCUUUCUGGGACAAUGAUACAUGAGUAAGGAAUCUAUAGAUUACAAGUUUGACUCAUGUUUCAUGGGUUUUUAGAAAUG
rnacentral:lncRNA from 1 species